rnacentral:tRNA from 2 species
GCUGGCGUAGCUCAACUGGUAGAGCAGCUGAUUUGUAAUCAGCAGGUUGCGGGUUCAAGUCCCUUCGCCAGCUCCA